AACGAACGCUGGCGGCAUGCCUAACACAUGCAAGUCGAACGAGACCUUCGGGUCUAGUGGCGCACGGGUGCGUAACGCGUGGGAACCUGCCCUUAGGUUCGGAAUAACUCCCCGAAAGGGGUGCUAAUACCGGAUAAUGUCUUCGGACCAAAGAUUUAUGGCCUUUGGAUGGGCCCGCGUUGGAUUAGCUAGUUGGUAGGGUAAAAGCCUACCAAGGCGACGAUCCAUAGCUGGUCUGAGAGGAUGAUCAGCAACACUGGGACUGAGACACGGCCCAUACUCCUACGGGAAAUAGCAGUGGGAAAUAUUGGACAAUGGACGAAAGCCUGAGCCAGCACAGCCGGGAGAGUGAUGAAGGCCUUAUGAUUGUAAAACUCUUUUAACCGGGAUGAUAAUGACAGUACCGGGAGAAUAAGCUCCGGCUAACUCCGU
rnacentral:rRNA from 1 species